GUGCUCACUUCGGCAGCACAUAUACUAAAAUUGGAACGAUACAGAGAAGAUUAGCAAGACCCCUGCGCAAGGAUGACACACAAAUUCGUGAUAGUUCCAUAUUUUU
ensembl:snRNA LOC120099558 U6 spliceosomal RNA